GCGUCUGAUUAGCUAGUUGGUAAGGUAACGGCUUACCAAGGCGACGAUCAGUAGCCGACCUGAGAGGGUGAUCGGCCACAUUGGAACUGAGACACGGUCCAAACCCCUACGGGAGGCAGCAGUGGGGCAUAUUGCACAAUGGGCGAAAGCCUGAUGCAGCAACGCCGCGUGAGUGAUGAAGGCCUUCGGGUCGUAAAACUCUGUCCUCAAGGAAGAUAAACGGUACUUGAGGAGGAAGCCCCGGCUAACUACGUGCCAGCAGCCGCGGUAAUACGUAGGGGGCUAGCGUUAUCCGGAUUUACUGGGCGUAAAGGGUGCGUAGGCGGUCUUUCAAGUCAGGAGUGAAAGGCUACGGCUCAACCGUAGUAAGCUCUUGAAACUGGGAG
rnacentral:rRNA from 1 species